GAUGAACGCUGGCGGCGUGCCUAAUACAUGCAAGUCGAGCGAACAGACGAGGAGCUUGCUCCUCUGACGUUAGCGGCGGACGGGUGAGUAACACGUGGAUAACCUACCUAUAAGACUGGGAUAACUUCGGGAAACCGGAGCUAAUACCGGAUAAUAUAUUGAACCGCAUGGUUCAAUAGUGAAAGACGGUUUUGCUGUCACUUAUAGAUGGAUCCGCGCCGCAUUAGCUAGUUGGUAAGGUAACGGCUUACCAAGGCAACGAUGCGUAGCCGACCUGAGAGGGUGAUCGGCCACACUGGAACUGAGACACGGUCCAGACUCCUACGGGAGGCAGCAGUAGGGAAUCUUCCGCAAGGGGCGAAAGCUUGACGGAGCAACGCCGCGUGAGUGAUGAAGGUCUGCGGAUCGUAAAACUCUGUUAUUAGGGAAGAACAAAUGUGUAGUAACUAUGCACGUCUUGACGGUACCUAAUCAGAAAGCCACGGCUAACUACGUG
rnacentral:rRNA from 1 species